rnacentral:rRNA from 1 species
CUACGGGCCGCUGCAGUGGGGAAUAUUGCGCAAUGGGCGCAAGCCUGAUGCAGCCAUGCCGCGUGUAUGAAGAAGGCCUUCGGGUUGUAAAGUACUUUCAGCGGGGAGGAAGGGAGUAAAGUUAAUACCUUUGCUCAUUGACGUUACCCGCAGAAGAAGCACCGGCUAACUCCGUGCCAGCAGCCGCGGUAAUACGGAGGGUGCAAGCGUUAAUCGGAAUUACUGGGCGUAAAGCGCACGCAGGCGGUUUGUUAAGUCAGAUGUGAAAUCCCCGGGCUCAACCUGGGAACUGCAUCUGAUACUGGCAAGCUUGAGUCUCGUAGAGGGGGGUAGAAUUCCAGGUGUAGCGGUGAAAUGCGUAGAGAUCUGGAGGAAUACCGGUGGCGAAGGCGGCCCCCUGUACGAAGACUGACGCUCAGGUGCGAAAGCGUGGGGAGCAAACAGGAUUAGAUACCCGCGUAGUC